CCUGAACAACUUUAGCUUAAUGAAGCAGUUUUGGUUUAUAGAACAUGCCCCUGCAGCCUCACUGCUCAAUCCUCUGCCAUUUAGGAGUUAAAUCCCUUUGUUUAUGAACCCUAGUCACACCUCCCUGCAUGUGACUUGCACAGCCUUCCAUAAACACUUCCUGUAAAGAGAGCCCUAUUUAGGCUUUUUUUUAUUGCAAGUUCUGUUUAAUUAAGAUUUUCUUAUCCCCUGCUAUGUUAAUAGCUUGGUAGACCCUGCAAGAGCCUCCUGUAUGUGAUUAAAGUUCAAUUUAGAGAUUGAGAUGUAAUUUACCUUAAAUAAUUGUAUCUGUUUGAAA